rnacentral:rRNA from 1 species
GUGGGGAAUAUUGGACAAUGGGCGCAAGCCUGAUCCAGCCAUGCCGCGUGAGUGAUGAAGGCCCUAGGGUUGUAAAGCUCUUUCACCGGUGAAGAUAAUGACGGUAACCGGAGAAGAAGCCCCGGCUAACUUCGUGCCAGCAGCCGCGGUAAUACGAAGGGGGCUAGCGUUGUUCGGAAUUACUGGGCGUAAAGCGCACGUAGGCGGACAUUUAAGUCAGGGGUGAAAUCCCGGGGCUCAACCCCGGAACUGCCGUUGAUACUGGGUGUAUGGAGUAUGGAAGAGGUAAGUGGAAUUCCGAGUGUAGAGGUGAAAUUCGUAGAUAUUCGGAGGAACACCAGUGGCGAAGGCGGCUUACUGGUCCAUUACUGACGCUGAGGUGCGAAAGCGUGGGGAGCAAACAGGAUUAGAUACCCGGGUAGUCC